UACGUAGGGUGCGAGCGUUAAUCGGAAUUACUGGGCGUAAAGCGUGCGCAGGCGGUGAUGUAAGACAGGUGUGAAAUCCCCGGGCUUAACCUGGGAACUGCGCUUGUGACUGCAUCGCUGGAGUGCGGCAGAGGGGGAUGGAAUUCCGCGUGUAGCAGUGAAAUGCGUAGAUAUGCGGAGGAACACCGAUGGCGAAGGCAAUCCCCUGGGCCUGCACUGGCGCUCAUGCACGAAAGCGUGGGGAGCAAACAGG
rnacentral:rRNA from 1 species